rnacentral:rRNA from 1 species
GUAGUCUCGCACAGAUGCAUAUCAAUAAGCGGAGGAAAAGAAACUAACGAGGAUUCCCCUAGUAACGGCGAGUGAAGCGGGAAGAGCUCAAAUUUGAAAUCUUAAAGGGUUUCCCUUUACGAAUUGUAGUUUAAAGAAGUGUUUUCUGUUGAGGUUUUGGUAAAAGUUCUUUGGAAUAGGACAUCAUAGAGGGUGAGAAUCCCGUAUUUGACCUUUACUUUCAACUUUGUGAUACACUUUCAAAGAGUCGGAUUGUUUGGGAAUGCAGUCCAAAAUGGGUGGUAAAUUUCAUCUAAAGCUAAAUAUUGGCGAGAGACCGAUAGCGAACAAGUACCGUGAGGGAAAGAUGAAAAGAACUUCGAAAAGAGAGUUAAACAGUACGUGAAAUUGUCAAAAGGGAAGCGUUUGACACCAGUGUUGUUUUUCUGAAAAUCAAUUAAAGAACUGUUUAUGCUAAGUUGUUUAGACUUUAUCAGCUAACUGUUUUAGUUUUGAGCUUUUCUUUAAUGCACUUUUCAGUUAACAAGUCAACAUCAAUUUCUUUUGCUGUAAAAAAGCUUGAGGAAGGUGGCUUGAGAUUCGUCUUAAGUGUUUAUAGCCUCUUGCCUAUGCAGUCGGAGAGAUUGAGGUCUGCAGCGUAGAUCCUUCGGGGCUAAAUGCAUUUGUGCUAAGUUAUAGCAUUUUAUAGACAACUUGUUGACUAUGAUUUGUCUUGUAGCUUACUCGCUUAUGUUAUUUUACCUACGCUUAGGAUGUUGAUCUGUAGUGCGUGCGC